rnacentral:rRNA from 1 species
CCUGGCUCAGGACGAACGCUGGCGGCGUGCUUAACACAUGCAAGUCGAACGAUGAAGCCCAGCUUGCUGGGUGGAUUAGUGGCGAACGGGUGAGUAACACGUGGGUGAUCUGCCCUGCACUCUGGGAUAAGCCUGGGAAACUGGGUCUAAUACCGGAUAUGACCUCGGGAUGCAUGUCCUGGGGUGGAAAGUUUUUCGGUGCAGGAUGAGCCCGCGGCCUAUCAGCUUGUUGGUGGGGUAAUGGCCUACCAAGGCGACGACGGGUAGCCGGCCUGAGAGGGCGACCGGCCACACUGGGACUGAGACACGGCCCAGACUCCUACGGGAGGCAGCAGUGGGGAAUAUUGCACAAUGGGCGCAAGCCUGAUGCAGCGACGCCGCGUGAGGGAUGACGGCCUUCGGGUUGUAAACCUCUUUCACCCAUGACGAAGCGCAAGUGACGGUAGUGGGAGAAGAAGCACCGGCCAACUACGUGCCAGCAGCCGCGGUAAUACGUAGGGUGCGAGCGUUGUCCGGAAUUACUGGGCGUAAAGAGCUCGUAGGCGGUUUGUCGCGUCGUCUGUGAAAUCCCGCAGCUCAACUGCGGGCUUGCAGGCGAUACGGGCAGACUCGAGUACUGCAGGGGAGACUGGAAUUCCUGGUGUAGCGGUGAAAUGCGCAGAUAUCAGGAGGAACACCGGUGGCGAAGGCGGGUCUCUGGGCAGUAACUGACGCUGAGGAGCGAAAGCGUGGGUAGCGAACAGGAUUAGAUACCCUGGUAGUCCACGCCGUAAACGGUUGCCUAGGUGUGGGUUUCCU